GUUUGGUCUGCGGGGCGAAACAGAGCAGCUGAACCAGUGCAGACGGCAGCAGGGUGCACACAGGAAGGUCCAGCAAUGAAAUUCAAACUGAGAACAUUGUACAUUAAAUCAAGUCCUGCUUUCAAUCUGACCAUUCGCUGGUUUUUGUUUUGACCACACUCAUGUCUUUGGACUGUGGGAGGAAGCCGGAGGUGAGAACCCACACAGGCACAGGGAGAACAUGCAGACAUCACACAGAAAGACCCCAGGAAUGAACUCCACACUUCUCCACUGACAAGAUACCUAAACUUGUUGCAUCAACUGCUGACUACAAGUGUGAUCAGACCAGAGAGAGUAAUUACCAUAGCACACGUUUUCAAUGCAACGAUGCAGAAGUGCUUCCUUGUCUCUGCGUUCCUGAACCAACUCAUCCAGCAGAUCAUCACAGCUUCCCAUCCUACAGCAGCCUCCUCAUCUCUCCUAUGAAGGCUUCGCAAGUAUAAUUUCCUUUAUGCUUAAUGGGUGAAUUUAGAAAUUAUAAUUGGCUUCUAAUUCCAAAGUGACUCUAAAUUGAUCACCAUGUUACCAAGUGCUUCCAGUGACAAUCGCAGUUAACUAGUUUUUCCAAUGGAAACUAGCUUUUCUGCUAAAUCGGGUGCAUUUACAUUUGUUAAAAUGUUAAUUAAUGUACCUUGUCCCUUUCUUAAAAAUAAAGAAAAAAAUUAUCUGUUAACCUACAUUAACUUAUUCACUGU